UCGACGAAAGUUGACUUCCGCAAGGACACUCGUAGAGGUGCUGCAUGGCUGUCGUCAGCUCGUGUCGUGAGAUGUUGGGUUAAGUAACCCGCAACGAGCGCAACCCUUGUCUGCUGUUGCCAUCAGGUAAUGCUGGGCACUCUGCAGAGACUGCCGGUGAUAAACCGGAGGAAGGUGGGGAUGACGUCAAGUCAGCAUGGCCUUUAUGUCUGGGGCUACACACGUGCUACAAUGGCCGAUACAAACCGUCGCAAAACCGCAAGGUGGAGCUAAUCGGAGAAAAUCGGUCUCAGUUCGGAUUGUAGGCUGCAACUCGCCUGCAUGAAGUUGGAAUCGCUAGUAAUCGCGGAUCAGCACGCCGCGGUGAAUACGUUCCCGGGCCUUGUACACACCGCCCGUCACAUCACGAAAGCCGGUUGUACUAGAAGUCGCCACAUCAACCCGCAAGGGAGAGAGGCGCCUAAGGUAUGGUCGGUGAUUGGGGUGAAGUCGUAACAAGGUAGGCGUAGUGCU
rnacentral:rRNA from 1 species